GUGAAUUAUUUUUUUUCUGUGUGAUUAUUACACGUUACAUGUUCGCCGGCUAGUGAAUACAAUACGGUAAUAUCAGAUAUGUAACGGCUACAGCAAGCUACAGUAAGAUGUAAAGUACGUUAGGUCGUACGAGCGAGUUCGCGCUAGGGAAACGUUGAAUGGGUGCUGCUCAUUAUCAACGUAUUCGUUCUGCGAUUUCAAUCAGAUAGGACGAUAGUCGAUAGGUAAUCACAUUGGCAGAUACUAGUGUUCUUUGCAGUCCAGUAACGACCACAAACUGAAUAACAGCGCGUACCGAGACGGGUACCGAGAGAGCAUCGAAAAUACCAUCGUUCAGUCGGGUGUGCGGUUACCGGCUCAUUAUUACAUUACAUAUCGGCCUAACCUAACUUUCGCGUUGAGACUUUUUCUUUUCGUUUACUUUUUUCCUUGUUAUUUUGAACGAGGUUAUUCAAUCAAGCGGGGAUGCUUCGCCUUCUUUUAGCUGCGGACAAUAUCAUAAUCUAAUACAGAUUGCAUUUGAUGCAGUACAACAGUGAUCGUUUUGGCAUAUAUAUAUAUUUUGAUCGAACAAACAAAAUGCCAUACCGCGCGUCGAUCAACACCGCCGACCGAGAGGUUCACGGAGAACGGGAUUUAUUAUUUCAGUAAACGUCGAUCAAAUGCAACGCAAACAAAAUGUCGAAGAAUAUGCAU